GACGGGGGGGGCAAGUGUUAAUCGGAUUUACUGGGCGUAAAGCGUGCGUAGGCGGCCAAUUAAGUCAAAUGUGAAAUCCCCGAGCUUAACUUGGGAAUUGCAUUCGAUACUGGUUGGCUAGAGUAUGGGAGAGGAUGGUAGAAUUCCAGGUGUAGCGGUGAAAUGCGUAGAGAUCUGGAGGAAUACCGAUGGCGAAGGCAGCCAUCUGGCCUAAUACUGACGCUGAGGUACGAAAGCAUGGGGAGCAAACAGG
rnacentral:rRNA from 1 species